rnacentral:rRNA from 1 species
CGAAAGGUAUGCUAAUACGGGAUAAUAUAUUUGAGAGGCAUCUCUUAAAUAUCAAAGGUGAGCCAGUACAGGAUGGACCCGCGUCUGAUUAGUUAGUUGGUAAGGUAACGGCUUACCAAGGCGACGAACAGUAGCCGACCUGAGAGGGUGAUCGGCCACAUUGGAACUGAGACACGGUCCAAACUCCUACGGGAGGCAGUAGUGGGGAAUAUUGUACAAU